CCUACGGGUGGCAGCAGUGAGGAAUAUUGGUCAAUGGUCGGGAGACUGAACCAGCCAAGCCGCGUGAGGGAUGAAGGUACAGAGUAUCGUAAACCUCUUUUGUCAGGGAACAAAGGCGGGGACGUGUCCCCGGCUGAGUGUACCUGAAGAAAAAGCAUCGGCUAACUCCGUGCCAGCAGCCGCGGUAAUACGGAGGAUGCGAGCGUUAUCCGGAUUUAUUGGGUUUAAAGGGUGCGCAGGCGGGCUGUUAAGCCGGCGGUAAAAAUUCAGGGCUCAACCCUGUCGAGCCGUCGGAACUGGCAGUCUUGAGUGGGCGAGAAGUAUGCGGAAUGCGUGGUGUAGCGGUGAAAUGCAUAGAUAUCACGCAGAACGCCGAUUGCGAAGGCAGCAUACCGGCGCCCAACUGACGCUGAGGCACGAAAGCGUGGGGAUCGAACAGGAUUAGAUACCCCUGUAGUC
rnacentral:rRNA from 1 species